UGGGGAAUCUUGCGCAAUGGGCGAAAGCCUGACGCAGCAACGCCGCGUGAGCGAAGACGGCCUUCGGGUUGUAAAGCUCUGUCAGGAGGGACGAAGCCACUCAGGUGAAUAGCCGAGAGGGUGACGGUACCUCCAGAGGAAGCCCCGGCUAACUACGUGCCAGCAGCCGCGGUAAUACGUAGGGGGCGAGCGUUGUCCGGAAUCAUUGGGCGUAAAGCGCGUGUAGGCGGCCAUCCAAGUCCGAUGUGAAAGCUCGGGGCUCAACCCCGAGUCUGCAUUGGAAACUGGCUGGCUAGAGUCCGGAAGAGGAGACUGGAAUUCCUGGUGUAGCGGUGAAAUGCGCAGAUAUCAGGAAGAACACCGGUGGCGAAGGCGGGUCUCUGGGACGGUACUGACGCUGAGACGCGAAAGCGUGGGGAGCAAACAGG
rnacentral:rRNA from 1 species